rnacentral:rRNA from 1 species
AUUGAACGCUGGCGGCAUGCUUUACACAUGCAAGUCGAACGGUAACAGGCCGCAAGGUGCUGACGAGUGGCGAACGGGUGAGUAAUGCAUCGGAACGUGCCCAGUCGUGGGGGAUAACGCAGCGAAAGCUGUGCUAAUACCGCAUACGAUCUAUGGAUGAAAGCGGGGGACCGUAAGGCCUCGCGCGGUUGGAGCGGCCGAUGUCAGAUUAGGUAGUUGGUGGGGUAAAGGCCCACCAAGCCAACGAUCUGUAGCUGGUCUGAGAGGACGACCAGCCACACCGGGACUGAGACACGGCCCAGACUCCUACGGGAGGCAGCAGUGGGGAAUUUUGGACAAUGGGCGCAAGCCUGAUCCAGCAAUGCCGCGUGCAGGAAGAAGGCCUUCGGGUUGUAAACUGCUUUUGUACGGAACGAAACGGUCCGGGUUAAUACCCUGGGCUAAUGACGGUACCGUAAGAAUAAGCACCGGCUAACUACGUGCCAGCAGCCGCCGUAA